AUAAUUUGGGUUACUCCUAACAGCUAACCUGACCCCAAAACGACUAUAGGGCCUCGCCCUACACAUGGUAAUUCAAAUCCAAUGCUAAUUUUUGGCAUUCUAAAUAAUUUUAACUUGAAUGUUAUUAUUAUUUUUUGCUUCUACGAUCGACCCCGAAUGGUCCUGAUCUAUUGAAUUAAUUAAAAAUGACCUACAGUGCAUUAAUCUGAUAAUGAAUCCAAAAUUAUUGACUUGAAGAUCACUUUUGGACAUUAACGAUUCAAUAAUUUAUUUUUAUACUUUGAACUGUUGACUUACUUUCUUAGUAACGAAGCUCACACACUUAAGUUCCUGAAGAAACUCAAAUCCACUACGCUUAGUUGUAUAUUGCAUUUUGUGUUCUUACAGGACCUCUCUUUUAUGAACUAAAUGUUCAUAAACUAAAUUGAACCUGUAGUUUCAAAUUUAGUGCCUUUGAAACCCGAAAUUUUCAUAAAAAAAUACACCCAUGAAAACUCGAUGUUAUUCAUGAAAACCAUGUCUUAGAGCUCGAAUGUUCUAACUUUGAUGCUUAUGGAUGAUUCAUUCCCAUAACACCAAUCACAGUCUUGUUCCCUCCAAUUUAGUGGAUUGUCGAACAGUCACAAGUUUGAUUUUCCCUGAUUUGGAUGUUUCUAAUAAAAACAAC
rnacentral:lncRNA from 1 species